CCAACCCCUACCUCGCUCUCUCCCCACGAACCUCUCUGUCUCUCGCGACUCCUCUCUCCCCCACGAACCCCUGUCCCUCGCCGCCGCCACCACCCACGCCGGCCGGUUCCGGCGAGCUCCGGCGGCGCGCAACACGCCCCCGAGCUCCCCUAGGUCCGCUCCACCUUCCCCUCCGUCCAGAAUCGGCGCUCCCGUCCUCCACCGACCCCGUGGCUAGCUAGGGUUUCGACCGCCACCCCUAACAUCGCCGGGAUCAGCCAGAUCCGGCGACGGCGAGGCCAGAGCUCGACGGAUCCGUUACGGGCGUGGCGCAGGUCACCUUGGUGCGGUCUGGACGGCGGCGACGGCAGGAGGGCGCCAUCCUUCCUACUCGAGGAGGCGGAGGACGAGGGGCGCACCUAGCUGGCGGCCCUGUCCUGCUCGAGGAGGCAGGGGCUGCCGAGCUCAAGCACGGCCACGACGACCCACCUCGGCAGAGAUGCAGGGAGGGAGGGACAUCCAUGGAUUGGACUGGAAGGAUUGGAUGCAAACCAAUGCACAUGAGGAGGAGAGAUGCAAGCCAGGCCAUGACCUAAAGAUGUCCUUGGAUAAGAUGGCCAUUGGAGUGUAGGGGAGAAACAACCUUGUCCUGCUCGAGGAGGAGGACCACCCGAGCUCGACGACGACACGGCAACAGGUAGCACUCGCCUCUCUCCGAAGGUGAAGGUCUGAUCCGCCUGUUUAGAUGGUCUGCUCUCGUCUUAUGCAUGUGAGGGGAGAAGAAAGCCAUUGGACUGAAUUAUAUUUGCAUGUGAGGGGAGUGAUCCUUUUGGUAGAUGCAGAGUAUAGAUUCACAAAAUUCACCACAUGAGCGUACUACCUAUAUCCAAAUUCUGGAUACCACUUGCAUCUUUUGUAUGUACACAUGAAAAAGCACGACGGUUUGCUUCA